AUUGAACGCUGGCGGCAUGCCUUACACAUGCAAGUCGAACGGCAGCACGGGUGCUUGCACCUGGUGGCGAGUGGCGAACGGGUGAGUAAUACAUCGGAACAUGUCCUGUAGUGGGGGAUAGCCCGGCGAAAGCCGGAUUAAUACCGCAUACGAUCCACGGAUGAAAGCGGGGGACCUUCGGGCCUCGCGCUAUAGGGUUGGCCGAUGGCUGAUUAGCUAGUUGGUGGGGUAAAGGCCUACCAAGGCGACGAUCAGUAGCUGGUCUGAGAGGACGACCAGCCACACUGGGACUGAGACACGGCCCAGACUCCUACGGGAGGCAGCAGUGGGGAAUUUUGGACAAUGGGCGAAAGCCUGAUCCAGCAAUGCCGCGUGUGUGAAGAAGGCCUUCGGGUUGUAAAGCACUUUUGUCCGGAAAUAAAUCCUUGACUCUAAUACAGUCGGGGGAUGACGGUACCGGAAGAAUAAGCACCGGCUAACUACGUG
rnacentral:rRNA from 1 species